rnacentral:rRNA from 1 species
AGAGUUUGAUCCUGGCUCAGAACGAACGCUGGCGGCGUGCGUAACACAUGCAAGUCGAACGCGAAAAGCAGCAAUGCUGAGUAGAGUGGCGCACGGGUGAGUAACACGUAAAUGACAUGUCUUGGAGAUCGGGAUAACCACUCGAAAGGGUGGCUAAUACUGAAUAAGCCCACGUCCUUGGGGAUGAGGGAAAAGGGUUGGGACCUUUCGAGGCCAAUCGCUUCUUGAGUGGUUUGCGGCCCAUCAGCUAGUUGGCGAGGUAACGGCUCACCAAGGCUAAGACGGGUAGCUGGUCUGAGAGGAUGAUCAGCCACACUGGAACUGAGACACGGUCCAGACUCCUACGGGAGGCAGCAGUGGGGAAUCUUGCGCAAUGGGAGCAAUCCUGACGCAGCAACGCCGCGUGGGUGAUGAAGGUCUUCGGAUCGUAAAGCCCUGUCGGAGGGGAAGAUGCUUGUCAUAGCUAAUAGUGAUGACAGGUGACGGUACCCUCAAAGGAAGCACCGGCUAACUCUGUGCCAGCAGCCGCGGUAAUACAGAGGGUGCAAGCGUUGUUCGGAAUUAUUGGGCGUAAAGGGAGUGUAGGCGGUCUUUUAAGUCUUCUGUGAAAUCUACGGGCUUAGCCUGUAACGUGCAGAGGAAACUGGAAGGCUUGAGUGUCGGAGAGGAUAGGGGAAUACCCAGUGUAGAGGUGAAAUUCGUAGAGAUUGGGUGGAACACCAGUGGCGAAGGCGCCUAUCUGGCUGACAACUGACGCUGAGACUCGAAAGCAUGGGGAGCAAACAGGAUUAGAUACCCUGGUAGUCCAUGCCGUAAACGAUGAUAGCUAGAUGUGUGAGGUAUUGACCCCUUACGUGUCGAGGUCAACACGAUAAGCUAUCCGCCUGGGGAGUACGGUCGCAAGAUUAAAACUCAAAGGAAUUGACGG